CCCUUUCCUUUUCUGCAAAUCGACAGGAGAUGCAACCCGGGAGAAGUGCAAUAAAACAAACUCUUGCUCUCAAAGCUCUCAGAACGAAAUGAGCAGCGCCCCCUGCCGUCCGCCGGUCAAACUGCAGAGUGGAGCCGGUGCAUGCAGCUCCUCGUGGGCCCAGUGGUUAGUAAACAGCUUUUAAUCCCAUAGAGCCGUUUCACACCCCUCUGAGUGAUUACUGGGACACAAUCACCAGUGCUCAUAUUCUCUUUUUGUGUGAAUGACUGCGGGAUUUCACAGCACAUGUUCAUCUCUCUUUUUUUUUCUUUUUUUUUGUUGUUGUUGAAUGAGAUGGAAAAAAUGACUGAAUGAGUAAGGAUGGAAGCAGUGCGGGUAUAAUAUGAUGGAUCACUCCAGACACUUCCGCCUAAAAACAGACACCUUAAGAUCUGGAUUUUUUUCUUCUUCUUCUUUUUUUCAAUUUAUUCUUUGGCAGAACUCGAAAUCCUGCCUGACUCGUCAUUUCUGGCUCAUAUUCUUCAUUUCGCCCCUCAUCCAAAUCAAACCCACUGUGCUCGCAUAUACGGUUUGUCAAGCCUCCAGUUUAGUGAUGUUAGAAAAAAAAAAAAAAAAAAAAGGAGGUCAGCCUGAGCCCGGCGGGAUGCAGGGCAGCUGCUCCCUGACCACUUCCCCCGUCACACCUACUGCGGCAAUUGGUUG